rnacentral:rRNA from 1 species
AUUUUAUGGAGAGUUUGAUCCUGGCUCAGGAUGAACGCUGGCGGCGUGCCUAAUACAUGCAAGUCGAGCGAACGGACGAGAAGCUUGCUUCUCUGAUGUUAGCGGCGGACGGGUGAGUAACACGUGGAUAACCUACCUAUAAGACUGGGAUAACUUCGGGAAACCGGAGCUAAUACCGGAUAAUAUUUUGAACCGCAUGGUUCAAAAGUGAAAGACGGUCUUGCUGUCACUUAUAGAUGGAUCCGCGCUGCAUUAGCUAGUUGGUAAGGUAACGGCUUACCAAGGCAACGAUGCAUAGCCGACCUGAGAGGGUGAUCGGCCACACUGGAACUGAGACACGGUCCAGACUCCUACGGGAGGCAGCAGUAGGGAAUCUUCCGCAAUGGGCGAAAGCCUGACGGAGCAACGCCGCGUGAGUGAUGAAGGUCCUCGGAUCGUAAAACUCUGUUAUUAGGGAAGAACAUAUGUGUAAGUAACUGUGCACAUCUUGACGGUACCUAAUCAGAAAGCCACGGCUAACUACGUGCCAGCAGCCGCGGUAAUACGUAGGUGGCAAGCGUUAUCCGGAAUUAUUGGGCGUAAAGCGCGCGUAGGCGGUUUUUUAAGUCUGAUGUGAAAGCCCACGGCUCAACCGUGGAGGGUCAUUGGAAACUGGAAAACUUGAGUGCAGAAGAGGAAAGUGGAAUUCCAUGUGUAGCGGUGAAAUGCGCAGAGAUAUGGAGGAACACCAGUGGCGAAGGCGACUUUCUGGUCUGUAACUGACGCUGAUGUGCGAAAGCGUGGGGAUCAAACAGGAUUAGAUACCCUGGUAGUCCACGCCGUAAACGAUGAGUGCUAAGUGUUAGGGGGUUUCCGCCCCUUAGUGCUGCAGCUAACGCAUUAAGCACUCCGCCUGGGGAGUACGACCGCAAGGUUGAAACUCAAAGGAAUUGACGGGGACCCGCACAAGCGGUGGAGCAUGUGGUUUAAUUCGAAGCAACGCGAAGAACCUUACCAAAUCUUGACAUCCUUUGACAACUCUAGAGAUAGAGCCUUCCCCUUCGGGGGACAAAGUGACAGGUGGUGCAUGGUUGUCGUCAGCUCGUGUCGUGAGAUGUUGGGUUAAGUCCCGCAACGAGCGCAACCCUUAAGCUUAGUUGCCAUCAUUAAGUUGGGCACUCUAAGUUGACUGCCGGUGACAAACCGGAGGAAGGUGGGGAUGACGUCAAAUCAUCAUGCCCCUUAUGAUUUGGGCUACACACGUGCUACAAUGGACAAUACAAAGGGCAGCGAAACCGCGAGGUCAAGCAAAUCCCAUAAAGUUGUUCUCAGUUCGGAUUGUAGUCUGCAACUCGACUACAUGAAGCUGGAAUCGCUAGUAAUCGUAGAUCAGCAUGCUACGGUGAAUACGUUCCCGGGUCUUGUACACACCGCCCGUCACACCACGAGAGUUUGUAACACCCGAAGCCGGUGGAGUAACCUUUUAGGAGCUAGCCGUCGAAGGUGGGACAAAUGAUUGGGGUGAAGUCGUAACAAGGUAGCCGUAUCGGAAGGUGCGGCUGGAUCACCUCCUUUCUAA